rnacentral:lncRNA from 1 species
AACUUCCUAUAAUGUGAAGCCCAUUCAUUUACACAAAAUACACAUGGACUAGAGGUGUAUGGCUUCCUGAUGGAGAAGCAACUUGCAAAUAAGGAGAUCUGCCGGUCAGAAGCAAUUACAAACUAUUCUCUUGCCCUGGCCUGCUAAGCUGCUCUGCUUCUAGCCUAAUGAAGCCUCUAAUCAGAUGGCUCUUCAAGGUGGUCCAAAGAGCCCCUCUGCAAUCAGCAGAAGAGGUAGGGAAAGUGAUAGCAAAAAUGUGCCAGGCUGGCAGGUAACUGAUAACAGAAUCAUUUCCAACCUGGUAGGAAAGAAAAUGAGUUGGGUUCAAACUAACAAUAAUAUAGAUAGAAAUGCUAGGACUCAAAUUGAUUUUUUUCUGAACAGGUUUCUUUACCCUUUGUUAACUUCAAAAUAGUCAUGCAACAAAGAAGGGCGCCCUUCUUUUCUUGGGGCUCUCUUUCAAGGUGAUGGUACUCAGCCUCCAUACUUAAACCUGUAACUUUACAUUACCUUUAGUAAAUCUGUAGAGACCUAAAUAACCACUAGAUGUCCCUUAUGCCAUGCAAAACCAACCUGACAUGAAUUUCACUACCAGUUACACAAAUCACAUUUGAAGACAGCUUUUCUGAGUCUUGGAUCUUAGGUUUCAAUUAUAACUCCUAUUAUGACUCACUCCUCUUCAUUUACAUUAUGCCCAUGUCUAUAUUAUUUCCAUGGUAUUUUAUCAUAAGAUACCAAAUUAUAGACAGGGAAUAGGAAACGACUAUGAAUUAAAAUUCUUCUAGAGGUAGAAAUGAUGGAGAAAUAGACAGAGAGGAAUACUGGAAAAAAAGAGAUAUAGAAUGUCUAAAAGGUCCAAAAUUCAUUAUCACUUCCAGGAAUCAAAGAAGUUUUGGUGUAAGUGGAGAACCCACAAAGUUCAGCUUAAAUUCAAAUUCUCCAAACACUGAGAUCUUGCAUUCUUACAUUCAAUGAAACUAGGAAUGGCAUGUAAUUUUAAUUACACAUCCAGUUUGAUCAAUUAGGAGUGGGUACCUGGGGCAUGAAGCAGUAAAACUGUCGUGCUGUGUCCAGCUGUGUCCAUUAAGCGAUGUCUACAAUGGGUGUGACAAUGGGGAAUGGCGGCCCCCAUCAUAUGCAUUUGCAGAACCUGAGUUAACCCAUUAGCUCUAAGCCUUUCAGACUUGGGAUGACUGUAGGUGUGAUGGCAGUAGUACAAUACCAACAGUUAACCUUCAUGGAGGGUUUCUUGUGGACCAGGUAUUGUCCUUGGUAGUUUACAUAUAAUUAUUUAAUCCUCACAUGACAAAUAUCUAAACCAAGACAUGACAUUACUUUUGAGAGUGGAAUGGGGCACUAUCAAUAAUAGGGCCUGAGCAACAGAUGUAACCCAAAACUUUCCAAGGACAGGUGGGGGUGGACAUUCACCUUAUUUUAUCCUCACAGCCACCUGAGACAUGAGAUGUAGCAUCAACUAUGGUUAAGAGCACAUUUGAAGAAGCCAAGCUAUCUGGGGUUCAAAUCCUUGCUUUGCUCUUCCUUACCGAGUUACCUGGACACAUUACUCAAACUUUCUGUACCUUGGCUUCCUCACUUUUGAAGGAGGGUAAUAAAAGUGCACGUAUCUCAUAGGGUUGCUGUGAUAAUUAGAAGAUUAGGUACAUAUAACGUGCUUAAAAUAGUUCCUGGCACAUUGUAAUGGCAGGUUACUAUUAUCCUCAUUUCACAGAAGAGGAAACUAUGGAUCAGUAAUUUUAAUAUCUGCCUUAGGUCACACAGCUAUUAUGAGCGGAGCCAGAAGAAAAUGUAGGUAAGUCUAGCUUGAGGGUCUGCACACUCAGUAACUAUUACUCCUAGCCUCUAUAUAACAAAAGUUUAAGGUUCUUCCUUUAAUCCAACUUCUCCAGCUAUCUGGAUUAUAAAAGAAUCACUAGAAAAGUAAGUUUCUCAUGUCUGUGGUUUAGGCUAGCAAGUCACAAUCAAGUAGGCACACUGAUUAAAACAUAGUCUGGAACUUCAAAUCAAACCUUUAUAGGUAAUCUCUCCUGAGACUGUAGGAAAGAAAUAUAAAGUAGGGAUAGAGGAGCCAGGAAGAGUCUUCACCCCAAGCUCUACUACUGAAGUUGAUGAAGUCCCUGCUCUCUGACUUUGCAUGAUGCGACCUACUCUGGAGUUGUUCCUCUCUCUUAAUACCACCUCAGUCCUCCUCCAGGUGACCACCUUGGUCCUUUGUGAUCCUCCUGAUGAAACAGUUGGCAAGAGCUACUGCUGGACACAGAAGAGUGAAUGCCAGGCGAGCUGACCACACCUGCUCCCCCAGAAGUAAAACAAAACCCAUCCAAAACAGAGCCAGAUAAUAGGAAUUGGCUGCCACUGCUGAUCUGCCUAGAACUCCAACCAGCUUUUCUACUUACUUAAUUAGCUCUUCAAUAAGUAUUGUUUAUUUUCAUACUGAGAGCUGGGAAUGUUAUCAUACCUGCCUGUCCAGUGGCAUUAGACUGACCUGAAUUAGCCCCUUCCAGACAGCAGCUCUUGGCUUCUUUUAAACGGGCCAUAAGUUUGGAAGCUAUUUACUCAUGAGGUGUGUCUGUAAGCAAACCAAGUUCCUCGAAGUCUAAGCACUUUGAGUCUGCAAAGGGGAAAAUCAUUUGUCUCUGUGGAAAGCUGAAUAAUGUUCCCCAAAGAUAUCAUGUACUAAUCC